rnacentral:rRNA from 1 species
GACGAACGCUGGCGGCGUGCUUAACACAUGCAAGUCGAACGGAAAGGCCCUGCUUUUGUGGGGUGCUCGAGUGGCGAACGGGUGAGUAACACGUGAGUAACCUGCCCUUGCCUUUGGGAUAACUUCAGGAAACUGGGGCUAAUACCGGAUAGGAGCUCCUGCUGCAUGGUGGGGGUUGGAAAGUUUCGGCGGUUGGGGGUGGACUCGCGGCUUAUCAGCUUGUUGGUGGGGUAGUGGGUUACCAAGGCGUUGACGGGUAGCCGGGCUGAGAGGGUGACCGGCGACAUGGGGAGUGAGAUACGGCCCAGACUCCUACGGGAGGGAGCAGUGGGGAAUAUUGUGCAAUGGGCGGAAGCCUGAGACAGCAACGCCGCGUGCGGAAGAACGGGCUUCGGGGUGUAAAACGCUUUCGCCUGUGACGAAGCGUGAGUGACGGUAAUGGGUAAAGAAGCACCGGCUAACUACGUG